AUGAACGCUAGCGGCAGGCUUAACACAUGCAAGUCGAGGGGCAUCGCGGGUAGUGAUACUUGGCGGCGACCGGCGGAAGGGUGCGUAACGCGUGAGCAACAUGCCCGUAUCAGGGGGAUAAACCAGGGAAACUUGGUCUAAUACCCCAUAAUAAAUUCAGGAGACAUCUUUUGGGUUUUAAAAUUACGAUGGAUACGGAUUGGCUCGCGUGACAUUAGCUAGUUGGUAAGGUAACGGCUUACCAAGGCGAUGAUGUCUAGGGGUUCUGAGAGGAAGAUCCCCCACACUGGAACUGAGACACGGUCCAGACUCCUACGGGAGGCAGCAGUGAGGAAUAUUGGACAAUGGAUGGAAAUCUGAUCCAGCCAUGCCGCGUGCAGGAAGACAGCCCUAUGGGUUUUAAACUGCUUUUGUAUGGGAGCAAUAAGGUCUAUGCGUAGAUCGAUGAGAGUACCAUACGAAUAAGGAUCGGCUAACUCCGU
rnacentral:rRNA from 1 species